rnacentral:tRNA from 1 species
UGGUGGUGUAGCUCAGUUGGUAGAGCGGGGGCAAAAAUCCCGCGUCGGUGGUUCGAACCCACCCACCGCAAG